GUCUUUUUGAUUAUAAUUUAAAGUUUAAUUUGCCCCCUGAUUUAAUUAAAGGGCUGCAGUAAAUUGACUGUACAAAGGUAGCAUAAUCAUUAGUCUUUUAAUUGAAGACUUGUAUGAAAGAUUUGAUGAAAUAUAAACUGUCUCUUUGUUAAAAUUAAAAUUUAAUUUUUUAGUAAAAAAGCUAAAAUUUUUUUAAAAGACGAGAAGACCCUAUAGAGUUUUAUAAUUAAGUUAGUUAAAAAUUAAUUAUAAAUAUUAAAUAAAAAUUAAUUUAAUUAUUUUAUUGGGGUGAUAGAAAAAUUAAAUUAACUUUUUUUUUUAAAAACCAUUAAUUAAUGAUUAAAUGAUCCAUAAAUUAUGAUUAAAAGAAAAAAUUACCUUAGGGAUAACAGCGUAAUUUUUUUUUUUAGUUCAAAUAAAAAAAAAAGUUUGCGACCUCGAUGUUGGAUUAAGAUACAAUUUAAAUGUAGAAGUUUAAAAUUUUGAUCUGUUCGAUCAUUAAAAUCUUACA
rnacentral:rRNA from 1 species